rnacentral:rRNA from 1 species
AACGAACGCUGGCGGCAUGCCUAACACAUGCAAGUCGAACGAGAUCUUCGGGUCUAGUGGCGCACGGGUGCGUAACGCGUGGGAAUCUGCCCUUUGGUUCGGCAUACCAGUUGGAAAAGACUGCUAAUACCGGAUGAUGACGAAAGUCCAAAGAUUGAUCGCCAGAGGAUGAGCCCGGGUAGGAUUAGCUAGUUGGUGUGGUAAAGGCGCACCAGGGCGACGAGACUUAGGUGAUCUGAGAGGAUGAUCAGCCACACUGGGACUGAGACCACGGCCCAAACUCCUACGGGAGGCAGCAGUGGGGAAUAUUGGACAAGGGGCGAAAGCCUUUUCCAGCAAUACCGCUUGAGUGAUGAGGGCCUUAGGGUUGUAAAGCUCUUUUACCCGGGAUGAUUAUGACAGUACCGGGAGAAUAAGCUCCGGCUAACUCCGUGCCAGCCGCCGCCGUAA